CCUACGGGGGGCAGCAGUGAGGAAUAUUGGUCAAUGGGCGUAAGCCUGAACCAGCCAAGUCGCGUGAGGGAUGAAGGUUCUAUGGAUCGUAAACCUCUUUUGUCGGGGAAUAAAGUGUGGGACGUGUCCUGUUUUGUAUGUACCUUAUGAAUAAGGAUCGGCUAACUCCGUGCCAGCAGCCGCGGUAAUACGGAGGAUCCGAGCGUUAUCCGGAUUUAUUGGGUUUAAAGGGUGCGUAGGCGGCCUUUUAAGUCAGCGGUGAAAGUCUGUGGCUCAACCAUGGAAGUGCCGUUGAAACUGGGAGGCUUGAGUAUGUGAGAGGCACGCGGAAUGCGUGGUGUAGCGGUGAAAUGCUUAGAUAUCACGCAGAACCCCGAUUGCGAAGGCAGCCUGCCAGGCCCUGACUGACGCUGAUGCACGAAAGCGUGGGGAUCAAACAGGAUUAGAUACCCCAGUAGUC
rnacentral:rRNA from 1 species